CUUUACUCUCUAAAAUGUGAACGUAAUUUCAUUUGUUCAACACGCGCUGCGACAGCGCGGGGAAUUUCAGGUUGAUUCACCAGCGAUUAUUUCGAAUCAGUUUUGGUUGUGGGGAUUGUUAAAGAAGAUACAUUUUUGUGAUUGGGGGAAUUCGCCAAUUAUAUUUGUUAUUUUGCCGACUGGCUAAAUGAUGUGCUCAUGUAAGACCAUUAUGCAGUUGACCAAUUUAAUUUGCUAAUUAUGCGAGAUGCUAUUGCCUUCGAAGAGCCACGUUACAUAUUCCGUUAGGAAAUUGCAAUACUCUCUCUAAUGAAUGAAUGAAGAUCAAAAGCAAAACCUGCCUUCGUUUGUUGCAAAAAUAAAUGUCUCAAAAUGCACGAAAAACCAGUUCAAGCAGCAAUCAACCAAAAUUCAGGAAGCAUUUGAGCGACGUCAUCGACAACUCGGUUGGCUGUCUGUCUGAAAAGCGAAAGGAAACGAACGAAGCAACAUACAAUACAACUUGGACGGUGGCUUUCCUAUUUCCAACUAAUUAACCAUAAAGAUUUAUGUUAACAAAUGUCUACGAAUGCCUUUCAAAGUGCCUACUGCCAGGUGUUCCGGCCAGUUUGCGGUUAGCCACAUUUGGUCAAGCUUUAGUUAGCUAUUUAUCUGGUUAAUGGCACAGUUUUGUCUUAAAUUUUUGAUGGUUCGACAAGGUCGUUGGCCAACAGCUCAAAGAAUAUAAUACCGCAUGAAAAUCGUAUCAAAUGGCAAAGACCACGAAUCAAAACAAAACAAAAUGAUAAAUAAAAAAUAAAUUCUGAUAAUCAAAGAGAUCAUUUAACCGUGGUAACUUUAUUUCGAAUGAAGGAAGCAUGAUAAAAAAUUAUAACAAUCCUGUACAACUGCAAUCUCAAUUUGAUAUAUA